rnacentral:lncRNA from 1 species
AGGAGAUAAAAAGCCCUAAUCAAAGGAACGCAGAUAACAUGAUUCAUCAUGGCAACAGGAGAAAAGGGCUCCAACCUCCUACUUGCCCAGUGGAGUUAGAAAUAUUAACAUAUGCAGAAUAUGAGCAUAUAUUUAAGGAAAAAAGCAAUGCAGCAGCAAAAGAACGUGAGUUGGCGUGGCAGAAAAUUGUUGAUCGAGUCAAUGCAUUCUUAGUUGUCCUUCAGAUGUCAUAAUCUAUUUUAAGUUACUGAUGGUGUAAUCUGUCUGGAGCCUUCUGCCAUAACAGACCUCCAUGCAGUUGAGGAUGAAGACACCUUGUCAGCUGCCACAGAGAGGGAAAAUACAGAGAGGCCUAUUGACGUUUACACCUUAAAAAUUACAUCUAACAGUUGAUGGUGUUGUACCAUAAUAAAACUUGCACCUUUUUCUCUAACAGAGCAAUGCUGGAAAUUACACCUACACAGCACAAUUUACCUCAGUAAGAUUUUGUUCAGCAUUGGCCCAUUACUUACAAUGAAAUUAAGUAGACCUGGCACUGAAAUUCAAUGUCAUUUUUUUGUGUUCCUAUAGCUCCCUGUGAAACAGCUGUACUAUGUG